GUGCCAGCCGCCGCGGUAAUACGGAAGGUCCGGGCGUUAUCCGGAUUUAUUGGGUUUAAAGGGAGCGCAGGCGGGCGUUUAAGCGUGCUGUGAAAUGCCGCGGCUCAACCGUGGAAGUGCAGCGCGAACUGGAUGUCUUGAGUGAGUACGACGCGGACGGAAUUCGUGGUGUAGCGGUGAAAUGCUUAGAUAUCACGAAGAACCCCGAUUGCGAAGGCAGUCCGCGAGUCCUUUACUGACGCUAAAGCUCGAAGGUGCGGGUAUCCAACAGGAUUAGAUACCCUGGUAGUCCGCACGGUAAACGAUGGAUGCCCGCUGUUGGCGAUACAGUGUCAGCGGCCAAGAGAAAUCGUUAAGCAUCCCACCUGGGGAGUACGCCGGCAACGUGAAACUCAAAGGAAUUGACGGGGGCCCGCACAAGCGGAGGAACAUGUGGUUUAAUUCGAUGAUACGCGAGGAACCUUACCCGGGCUUGAACUGCAGCAGAACGAUUCAGAGAUGAUGAGGCCCUUCGGGGCUGCUGUGGAGGUGCUGCAUGGUUGUCGUCAGCUCGUGCCGUGAGGUGUCGGCUUAAGUGCCAUAACGAGCGCAACCCUUUUCGCCAGUUGCCAUCAGGUGAUGCUGGGCACUCCGGCGAUACUGCCACCGUAAGGUGUGAGGAAGGUGGGGAUGACGUCAAAUCAGCACGGCCCUUACGUCCGGGGCUACACACGUGUUACAAUGGGUGGUACAGAGAGUCGGUGCAUGGCAAUAUGCAUCCAAUCAAUAAAGCCAUCCUCAGUUCGGAUUGGGUCUGCAACCCGACCCCAUGAAGCUGGAUUCGCUAGUAAUCGCGCAUCAGCCAUGGCGCGGUGAAUACGUUCCCGGGCCUUGUACACACCGCCCGU
rnacentral:rRNA from 1 species